rnacentral:rRNA from 1 species
AGUGAACGCUGGCGGUAGGCCUAACACAUGCAAGUCGAACGGCAGCACAGUAAGAGCUUGCUCUUACGGGUGGCGAGUGGCGGACGGGUGAGGAAUACAUCGGAAUCUACUUUUUAGUGGGGGAUAACGUAGGGAAACUUACGCUAAUACCGCAUACGACCUACGGGUGAAAGCAGGGGAUCUUCGGACCUUGCGCGAUUGAAUGAGCCGAUGUCGGAUUAGCUAGUUGGCGGGGUAAAGGCCCACCAAGGCGACGAUCCGUAGCUGGUAUGAGAGGAUGAUCCGCCACACUGGAACUGAGACACGGUCCAGACUCCUACGGGAGGCAGCAGUGGGGAAUAUUGGACAAUGGGCGCAAGCCUGAUCCAGCCAUACCGCGUGGGUGAAGAAGGCCUUCGGGUUGUAAAGCCCUUUUGUUGGGAAAGAAAAGCAGCAGGUUAAUACCCCGCUGUUCUGACGGUACCCAAAGAAUAAGCACCGGCUAACUUCGUG